CAGUUGACCAAAAAAAUUUAAUCAUUUUGCAAUCAAUUUUUUUUAGGAAGUUCAUCUCUUCCUCUUAUCUCUUAAAAAUUUCUUUUCCAUCACCUUUGAACGGAACCUACCUGUUAUGUGCUUCAUCAAACUCUUUUCCACUGGACCAAGACACAGAGAGGACUGUGAGCAGCAUAUUUUUUUCCUUUACAUUAGGAGCAAGCUCCUGGCUAAUGAUUAAUGGAGAGCUGUCAGGUUUAUUGCUUGUACACUCCUCUAUCAGAUAAUACGAUAUCGUCUGCUCCAAAAGUCUAUGUGGAAAUGGAAGCAUUCAUGGAUGCCCACUUGGAUGAAGCAGGUCAUUCAUUUUCUUAUUAUUUCCCUAAAAUA
rnacentral:lncRNA from 1 species